UCUCUCUCUCCCCUUCAUCUCUCAUCUUCCUCCAUUAACAUCCAUGGUAGAACCUUCCGAAGCUUCCAAAAAUUAUACAAAACACAUCAAUCCACUCCAAAAUCUUGCCUAAACACCUUCAAUCUCCUUGGAUUCAAGAAGAUCAUUGAAGAUUGCUUCCAAGGCUAGAGAGAGAAAGUGUGAUUGUUGGUGUAAAGUUUGGACCGAGCGAGACGAAGAAGUAAGUCGCCUGUUUUCUUUCCGAAACUAGCGAAGGACUUCAGGCUAAGCGAGGAGCGAGAUUGGUCUGGUGCUGGUGGGGGAUUAUCUAGUUGAUGUAUUUACUUUAUCGCAUUUCCAUUUUGUCGAUAAAGUCUUGAUGAAUGAGAUACUUUGUUUUUCUUUUGAAUUUAAGCAAUUUACUCGCGGUUAUAUGUCUUCAUACAUAUAAUCGAUUCAUCUUUUGCUGCGAUACUCUGUAUAUUGUGAAUCCUUAUGAAAAAUGAGCCA